GUAACCUGGUUGAUCCUGCCAGUAGUCAUAUGCCUGUCUCAAAGAUUAAGCCAUGCAUGUCUAAGUAUAAGCAACUAUACGGUGAAACUGCGAAUGGCUCAUUAAAUCAGUUAUCGUUUAUUUGAUAGUACCUUACUACUUGGAUAACCGUGGUAAUUCUAGAGCUAAUACAUGACUAAAAACCCCACUUCGGA
rnacentral:rRNA from 1 species